UACGAAGGGGGCUAGCGUUGUUCGGAUUUACUGGGCGUAAAGCGCGUGUAGGCGGGCUGGUAAGUUGGGGGUGAAAUCCCGAGGCUCAACCUCGGAACUGCCUCCAAAACUUCCAGCCUGGACUCAAGUAGAGGCAAGUGGAAUUGCGAGUGUAGAGGUGAAAUUCGUAGAUAUUCGCAGGAACACCAGUGGCGAAGGCGACUUGCUGGACUUGUAGUGACGCUGAGACGCGAAAGCGUGGGGAGCAAACAGG
rnacentral:rRNA from 1 species